GAUGAACGCUGGCGGCGUGCCUAAUACAUGCAAGUCGAGCGAACAGAUAAGGAGCUUGCUCCUUUGACGUUAGCGGCGGACGGGUGAGUAACACGUGGGUAACCUACCUAUAAGACUGGAAUAACUCCGGGAAACCGGGGCUAAUGCCGGAUAACAUUUAGAACCGCAUGGUUCUAAAGUGAAAGAUGGUUUCGCUAUCACUUAUAGAUGGACCCGCGCCGUAUUAGCUAGUUGGUAAGGUAACGGCUUACCAAGGCAACGAUACGUAGCCGACCUGAGAGGGUGAGCGGCCACACUGGAACUGAGACACGGUCCAGACUCCUACGGGAGGCAGCAGUAGGGAAACUUCCGCAAUGGGCGAAAGCCUUACGGAGCAACGCCGCGGGAGUGAUGAAGGGCUUCGGGUCGUAAAACUCUGUUAUUAGGGAAGAACAAAUGUGUAAGUAACUGGGCACGUCUUGACGGUACCUAAACAGAAAGCCACGGCUAACUACGUGC
rnacentral:rRNA from 1 species